rnacentral:lncRNA from 1 species
UGAAAGUUGAAGUUAUGUGAAUCCUGCAUUUCCAUACAGGUUGAACGCGCACACUACGAUUUGCACUUCAGGGACACCGUAGGUUUCAGCUCUGAUACUUCUGUUUCAGCUCCGAUACACAGCGGUUUAUUUUCUGUGGCUCGUUAAUUUUAUGCUUGGUUACUAUAUGUGAAAAUAAAGACUGUGCAAAGUCGUAUACACUUUUGUAAUCACAAUGAGACCAAUAUUGGAUUGAUUGAAUACUUCGUUAAAGAGCUUUUGAGAUUUGAAGAAUGUCUGUCGAAUGUCCAAUCUAAAAAUAACUUCACCGCAGUGAAAAACGAAAGUGAAAUAUUUUCUUUCAGGAUACAUUUUAAUACAACACAACGAAGACAAUCUACAGCAGAGGAAAACAAUAAAAUCCAUCAGAAGAGACCAGUUUCCUCUGUUCCCAGCUGUCUGUCCAUGAAGACUGAUCAGUCUAUGGAACCUCCCAUUUUGUUUAAAGACAGAUGUUCUCACUGAAGAAAGGUAAGUGUAUUCAGGUUUCCUGUGGCUCCAAGGUCAUUUUGAACUGGACUGUAGAACUAAGUCUUUUGGUUAAUUUAACAGAGUCCAUCAGAAGAGACCAGUUUCCCCUGUUCCCAGCUGUCUUUCAAUGAAGACUGAUAAGUCUAUGGAACCUCCCAUUUUGUUUAAAGACAGAGAUGUUCUCACUGAAGAAAGGCAAGUGUAUUCAGGUUUCCUGUAGCUCCAAGGUCAUUUUGAACUGAGCUGUUGAACUAAGACUUUUGGUUAAUUUAACAGAGUCCAUCAGAAGAGACCAGUUUCCCCUGUUCCCAGCUGUCUUUCAAUGAAGACUGAUAAGUCAAUGGAACCUCCCAUUUUGUUUAAAGACAGAGAUGUUCUCCUUGAAGAAAGGCAAGUGUAUUCAGGUUUCCUGUAGUUCCAAGGUCAUUUUGAACUGAGCUGUUGAAAUAAGUCUUCUGGUUAAUUUAACAGAGUCCAUCAGAAGAGACCAGUUUCCCCUGUUCCCAGCUGUCUGUCCAUGAAGACUGAUCAGUCAAUGGAACCUCCCAUUUUGUUUAAAGACAGAGAUGUUCUCACUGAAGAAAGGCAAGUGUAUUCAGGUUUCCUGUAGCUCCAAGGUCAUUUUGAACUGAGCUGUUGAACUAAGUCUUUUGGUUAAUUUAACAGAGUCCAUCAGAAGAGACCAGUUUCCCCUGUUCCCAGCUGUCUUUCAAUGAAGACUGAUAAGUCUAUGGAACCUCCCAUUUUGUUUAAAGACAGAGAUGUUCUCACUGAAGAAAGGCAAGUGUAUUCAGGUUUCCUGUAGUUCCAAGGUCAUUUUGAACUGAGCUGUUGAAAUAAGUCUUCUGGUUAAUUUAACAGAGUCCAUCAGAAGAGACCAGUUUCCCCUGUUCCCAGCUGUCUGUCCAUGAAGACUGAUCAGUCAAUGGAACCUCCCAUUUUGUUUAAAGACAGAGAUGUUCUCACUGAAGAAAGGCAAGUGUAUUCAGGUUUCCUGUAGCUCCAAGGUCAUUUUGAACUGAGCUGUUGAACUAAGUCUUUUGGUUAAUUUAACAGAGUCCAUCAGAAGAGACCAGUUUCCCCUGUUCCCAGCUGUCUGUCCAUGAAGACUGAUCAGUCAAUGGAACCUCCCAUUUUGUUUAAAGACAGAGAUGUUCUCACUGAAGAAAGGCAAGUGUAUUCAGGUUUCCUGUAUCUCCAAGGUCAUUUUGAACUGAGCUGUUGAACUAAGUCUUUUGGUUAAUUUAACAGAGUCCAUCAGAAGAGACCAGUUUCCCCUGUUCCCAGCUGUCUUUCAAUGAAGACUGAUAAGUCUAUGGAACCUCCCAUUUUGUUUAAAGACAGAGAUGUUCUCACUGAAGAAAGGUAAGUGUAUUCAGGUUUCCUGUGGCUCCAAGGUCAUUUUGAACUGGACUGUAGAACUAAGUCUUUUGGUUAAUUUAACAGAGUCCAUCAGAAGAGACCAGUUUCCCCUGUUCCCAGCUGUCUUUCAAUGAAGACUGAUAAGUCAAUGGAACCUCCCAUUUUGUUUAAAGACAGAGAUGUUCUCACUGAAGAAAGACAAGUGUAUUCAGGUUUCCUGUAGCUCCAAGGUCAUUUUGAACUGAGCUGUUGAACUAAGCCUUUUGGUUAAUUUAACAGAGUCCAUCAGAAGAGACCAGUUUCCCCUGUUCCCAGCUGUCUGUCCAUGAAGACUGAUCAGUCAAUGGAACCUCCCAUUUUGUUUAAAGACAGAGAUGUUCUCACUGAAGAAAGGCAAGUGUAUUCAGGUUUCCUGUAUCUCCAAGGUCAUUUUGAACUGAGCUGUUGAACUAAGUCUUUUGGUUAAUUUAACAGAGUCCAUCAGAAGAGACCAGUUUCCCCUGUUCCCAGCUGUCUUUCAAUGAAGACUGAUAAGUCUAUGGAACCUCCCAUUUUGUUUAAAGACAGAGAUGUUCUCACUGAAGAAAGGUAAGUGUAUUCAGGUUUCCUGUGGCUCCAAGGUCAUUUUGAACUGGACUGUAGAACUAAGUCUUUUGGUUAAUUUAACAGAGUCCAUCAGAAGAGACCAGUUUCCCCUGUUCCCAGCUGUCUUUCAAUGAAGACUGAUAAGUCAAUGGAACCUCCCAUUUUGUUUAAAGACAGAGAUGUUCUCACUGAAGAAAGACAAGUGUAUUCAGGUUUCCUGUAGCUCCAAGGUCAUUUUGAACUGAGCUGUUGAACUAAGCCUUUUGGUUAAUUUAACAGAGUCCAUCAGAAGAGACCAGUUUCCCCUGUUCCCAGCUGUCUGUCCAUGAAGACUGAUCAGUCAAUGGAACCUCCCAUUUUGUUUAAAGACAGAGAUGUUCUCACUGAAGAAAGGCAAGUGUAUUCAGGUUUCCUGUAUCUCCAAGGUCAUUUUGAACUGAGCUGUUGAACUAAGUCUUUUGGUUAAUUUAACAGAGUCCAUCAGAAGAGACCAGUUUCCCCUGUUCCCAGCUGUCUUUCAAUGAAGACUGAUAAGUCUAUGGAACCUCCCAUUUUGUUUAAAGACAGAGAUGUUCUCACUGAAGAAAGGUAAGUGUAUUCAGGUUUCCUGUGGCUCCAAGGUCAUUUUGAACUGGACUGUAGAACUAAGUCUUUUGGUUAAUUUAACAGAGUCCAUCAGAAGAGACCAGUUUCCCCUGUUCCCAGCUGUCUUUCAAUGAAGACUGAUAAGUCAAUGGAACCUCCCAUUUUGUUUAAAGACAGAGAUGUUCUCACUGAAGAAAGACAAGUGUAUUCAGGUUUCCUGUAGCUCCAAGGUCAUUUUGAACUGAGCUGUUGAACUAAGCCUUUUGGUUAAUUUAACAGAGUCCAUCAGAAGAGACCAGUUUCCCCUGUUCCCAGCUGUCUGUCCAUGAAGACUGAUCGGUCUAUGGAACCUCCCAUUUUGUUUAAAGACAGAGAUGUUCUUACUGAAGAAAGACAAGUGUAUUCAGGUUUCCUGUAGCUCCAAGGUCAUUUUGAACUGAGCUGUUGAACUAAGUCUUUUGGUUAAUUUAACAGAGUCCAUCAGAAGAGACCAGUUUCCCCUGUUCCCAGCUGUCUGUCCAUGAAGACUGAUCGGUCUAUGGAACCUCC